GCUUAGCAACCUGCUCGGGACCCCUCUCUGUGACUGUGAGCUGUUCUGUUCUUUUGCCUAUUAAACUCCUGCUCCAAACUCACUCGAUGUGUGUGUGCAUGUCCUUGACCUCAAUAUCUGGUCGUGUGACCAAGAACCUCAGUAUUCACCCCAGACAACAAGGCUGCUUCAUUUUGAGGGCUCGUCUGGGAUUUGAAGGUGACUUCAUCAGAAUGCUUUGCUGCUAAAGGGAUCUGCAGUCCAGCUGAAAACCUGCCCUUGCCUGAGCCCAGCCACUUUCUCCCAGAGAAAACUGGAGAACCUAAACAUGAUUGUGAACAGAAACCAUCAAGCUUCAGAUGGUGCUGAAAAUGGAGCCGAAAAUGAAACUGCCCUCCUACGAGGGACCCUUAAAUCAACCCCAGGAGGAGCCCUAGCUGCUGUUCCCCACACAACGCCACUCUCCAGCAGGAAGUAGCCAGAAGAAAUCGUCACCCAGUUUCCCCUAGCAGCAGCGCAGUAAGAUUGAGGAGCUAAAAACAGACUUGGGUGGAUGUCUGCAGCUGCAAGAAGAUGUGUGGGAACAGACACAGAAACUCUCCCUCCCAGAUAAGCAAGACAAAGAAACACAGAAUAAGAGUCCAUCUAUGUGGUCAGAGAAUGGGAUAAGAGCUGAUUUAAAAAAACUCUGCUCUAUAUAGAAGGCACACCUGGUCCCAACCAAACCACUGGACCCUAGGAGGAUAAGACCUCCUCUGCUCAUGAGCCCCCUCCUCAGUAGCCCAUUUAUAAAAACCCUGACAAUUUUACUACCACUUGGCAACCCGCUCGGGACCCCUCUCUGUGAUGGAGAGCUGUUCUUUUCUUUUGCCUAUUAAACUCCUGCUCCAAAC
rnacentral:lncRNA from 10 species